UCUUCGGACCUUGCGCUAAUAGAUGAGCCUAAGUCGGAUUAGCUAGUUGGUGGGGUAAAGGCCUACCAAGGCGACGAUCUGUAGCGGGUCUGAGAGGAUGAUCCGCCACACUGGGACUGAGACACGGCCCAGACUCCUACGGGAGGCAGCAGUGGGGAAUAUUGGACAAUGGGGGGAACCCUGAUCCAGCCAUGCCGCGUGUGUGAAGAAGGCCUUAUGGUUGUAAAGCACUUUAAGCGAGGAGGAGGCUACUGAGAUUAAUACUCUUGGAUAGUGGACGUUACUCGCAGAAUAAGCACCGGCUAACUCUGUGCCAGCAGCCGCGGUAAUACAGAGGGUGCGAGCGUUAAUCGGAUUUACUGGGCGUAAAGCGUGCGUAGGCGGCUUUUUAAGUCGGAUGUGAAAUCCCCGAGCUUAACUUGGGAAUUGCAUUCGAUACUGGGAAGCUAGAGUAUGGGAGAGGAUGGUAGAAUUCCAGGUGUAGCGGUGAAAUGCGUAGAGAUCUGGAGGAAUACCGAUGGCGAAGGCAGCCAUCUGGCCUAAUACUGACGCUGAGGUACGAAAGCAUGGGGAGCAAACAGGAUUAGAUACCCUGGUAGUCCAUGCCGUAAACGAUGUCUACUAGCCGUUGGGGCCUUUGAGGCUUUAGUGGCGCAGCUAACGCGAUAAGUAGACCGCCUGGGGAGUACGGUCGCAAGACUAAAACUCAAAUGAAUUGACGGGGGCCCGCACAAGCGGUGGAGCAUGUGGUUUAAUUCGAUGCAACGCGAAGAACCUUACCUGGCCUUGACAUACUAGAAACUUUCCAGAGAUGGAUU
rnacentral:rRNA from 1 species